GGUUAGACCAUUGGUUCAUCUAACCCAUAAUAGUAGGGCUCUCCGGGGUUUUCCACAUCACCUGCUUCUAGGGAUGGAGGAUUCUUUCAGUUUUAGUUCUCUCAGCUCCUCAAUCUAAUGUUCAGUUCUCCACAUGCCCACAUAAUUUUGCAAAUUUUCAAAAGUAUGUAUGGAAAUUCAUCAGCCUUUUAGGGCACAUUUCUCCUAAUACACAAAUUUCUGUAGGCAUUUUAAUUUUAUUUUUUGCUCAGUAUAGUACGAUUGUGUAUUACAUGGAGGUUAUGUUCAGGAGAUGGCAUGUAUAUGCAAAAAUGGGUAUACUGAACCACUCCUGACCUUUCCGGAGCAGGCGCCUCAAGCAGCCCUGGCAACCUCGCCCAAAGCAAGACAGAAAACUUUAAAGUUCUCUGCCUUGCUUACUGGACUCUGGGAUGCCCUUGCAAGAUCUCGCAGGGCUGUCCAAGUUCCUGCAAGAUCUUUCAAGGGUAUCCCAGAGUAUUGUGUGAGAGUAUCCCAGAGUCUGGUAAGCAAGACGGAGAGCUUAAAAGCUCUUUACAUGUUGGGAAAGCCCUGUGCAAAAAGAGCUUUUAAGCUCUCUGCCUUAAACUGUUUGGUUUCAACUGGUCAGCCUUCGGCCGCGUAAAGUUGAAAUUGUGCAUGUUAAAUGUGUGCAAAUUGCAACUGUACUGUAUUGUUAUGCGUUUGUGGGUGCCAGGCACCUAAUCCCUGGACCCAGUCAGCUAAUCAAGCCUUCAAAUUUUGGGAAAUAGCCAGACUAGCCUCCUGGUGAGGUGUAAGGAGAGCAAAGGAAGGGGCCCUGUGGGAAACGGCAACUGGAUGGGGCCCCUCUCUCGAUUCACAGAUAUAGUGAAGAGGAAUUAAGCCAAAUUUGAGAGUUAGAUGUUAUGUGAGCAAGAAGCUGGAGGUGUAAAAGCUGCAGGCUAAAAAGACAGAGAGGCAGAGCACAAGGUUUCAUUUCUUGUUUGAAUCCAAGGCUGCGGCUAUGGGAGAAACGACCCUUUUAGACCAUUAACGCUGUGCACCCCUCCACCACAGGCUCGGGUUGUAUGUAUGUGCAAAUAAAUCAUAUAUCCUAAAGACAAUGUGCCUCAUUCCCAAAAGGAAACACAAACCCUGGGUAAGUGCUUGCAACCCCUGGAAUCUUGCACGGCUCAGAGAUUGGGGUGGCAUGCAACAGUAGGCAUAUUUUUUGCAAGCUGGUCCCCUUAAUAAAAUGCAUUUUUUAAUGUUAUCGUCAGGGAACUGUCAUCAGCUCAGAGGUGAGAGGUGGAAGGGCAGUUGUGUUAUAGGGAACCUCUGAAAAUCUUGCGAAGCAGUUUCUCUUCUGGAGAGGAGGGAAGCCCCACCUCCAGUGGAGAGGAAGUGGUGGGAGCAGGGGAUGCUUGGGAGAGCCUCAACACUGAGCCUGAGCAAACCGGAGGGGAGGGAAGUACCCCUUUGCCAGCGCCCAUGCUGCGCAGUAGGUUUAGGUGCAGGGAAGGGAGGAAAAGGUUGGGGGUCACACAACUGUUAUGCUAGAGGAGGCAUAAGGACUGUCCACUCCCAGAUUCUGCUAGCAAGUGAGCCAGACAUGAACUUGCGAUGCUCUUCACUGCAAAUAGUUUGCACUAAUAAUAAAGCCUGAAAAAGACAGGUCAGAGUCUUGCCUGUUUGCUCUCGAGCAACCACACCAGCACCUGACAGUUAUAUAUUUUUUAAUUUGCGCAUUUAUGCACACUUUCCCCUAGUAUAUGCAUCUUUGUUCACAUCAUUUGAUGGAAGGACUUGACUGCAAAAGUUUGUAGAAGUGUGCAUUCUGAAGUGGGUUUGUGUGUGUUGUGUUUCAGUUUGCAUACUGUUUCGGGAAAUGCAGAUUAGGUAAACGUGAACUGAAUCCAAUUUCUCCCACAUCCUUAGCUCUGAAUUUUUAGAGCUCUGAAAUGUCUGUAUAUUUUUAGGGGACACACAUGCCAUCAGUGCCUUUGGUGUUUAUGAGAAAUUAAUACAGGCAAAGAAUACCGUAAGGCUCGACCGAAGCCUCUUAUUCAUCUCCCUUCCUCGCUAUCGUAUGGUGAAUCCUUUACUCAUCUGACAAUGAAACUGGCAAGUGUGUCCUUUUUCUGCUGUCAAAUGUUGGAGGGAAGGAGGGAGCCACCAGCUGGCAGAUGAGCAAGAUCGGUGGCAUCCGUUACCAGUCCACUGCUGGUGAGCCCAUGUCUGUGGGUUAAGUGAGUCAAGUUUCAAAGAGGCAGUUCAGGAGUAGGGCAAGAAGCAACAGAGAACAGAAGCCGGAACUAAGGGAAAUGGAUAGGAAGAGUCAUACCAUGCAGGCUAUGAUUGUCAGAUAAGUAUGCAGAUUUAAAUACCAGCCAAGCAGAAGCCUUGGCUACAGAUAAUCAGGGCUUGGGACACCCAAAGGGGAAAAAGUGGUAAGACCAAAAGGGGAAGGGUCACGACCUGCUUUGCAUUCCCAGGUUCAAACCCUGGCAUCUCCAGCCAAGGCUAAGAAUUGUGCCCCACCUGAAACCCUGGAGAGCUACUGUCAGUUAGUGCAGACAAUACUGAACUCAAUGGACCAGUUCGGACUUGGCCUAAGGUAGCUUCCUGCGUCCAUCUACAGUGCAGUCCUAAGCCCACAACAAGUGGUUUAAUGUUAGCCUUUGGUAAUAUUAGGAAAGGGCACAGUCUAGAGCUGUAGCUUGUACAGGAAGGUUGUUGUGUAAUGGUUGGGGAAUCAGAUGGCAUGUGGCACUCUCUUUGCUGCAGCAGAGACCAGAGUGGCUCCCAGUCAGGUAGGAAGUUAUUGCUAAAUGCAGCCUAGAGAGAGAAAAACUCCAAAUAAGCUUUUUUAGAAAAAAACAAAAUAAAAAUUCAUUGGAUCCAAAGCUCUGUGGUUCCCCUAAGGGCCCCAGUCAUUGGGCAUCUCAGCCACAGAGCUCCGGAGUCAUGAUUCAGGAUUUCAAAAAGAAGUUCAGAACCAAACGGAAGUUGCGAAGAUGCCCCAACAAGUUUCCAUGCCCCCACUGCCAAGCUUUUAGAGACAAGGUGUGGUAAGCUCACCUGCAGCAUUCUCUCACCUUGUGGGAACAUCAGGAUUGCAGAAACACACUCCCUCGGGGUGGGUGGGUCUGCUCCCAUUCAUGAAGCAGCACGCAUGGAGAGUCCUGUGGGUACAUUUGUUUUUCUGGGAGCUGUGUGGCUGCUAGCUAGGGAACAACCAGACCUGGGCAACACAUCCACACCAGCAAAUAACUUUAGCUGAAUUCAUUCAUUCAUUUUUUAUUAUUCAGAUUGAGUUAGAUUUCAUGUCCCGAAAAGUCAAAAGCUGAGCAUUUCAGAGUUCAAAAAUUGUACAUUUAAUUUAUUCUCCCCCUUCCAAAAAGAGAAGCAUCUUAGUGUGUCACGAUGUGUGCUGCAUACAAGUCUAAUAAGCCCGGCAGUGCAAGAAUACGACACUUAAUUUAAAAAAAGAAAAUCAGAAAAGCAAAGGGUGAGGGGAGAGUAGUGAAUAGAGAGGAUCUUAUAGUGAAUGAAGGAGGUGGGGGCAGGCGGGGAGGGAGAGAGAGAGAUGAGCCAAGGGACUGACGCGUCCCUCUGCUUGUCGGACGUAUCUGUGGACUUAAAUGACAUCUCAGGGGACGGGAUCAAACUUCCAGAUUCAAUUCAUCCAUCAGAUGGGAGAACAAGACCUGGCUUUCAGUCAGAGAGGAGUUGAAGGUUCCUAUUGGAGUAAAUGAGCUCAGACCACACAGAUAAACAGCGUUUUCUGUUCCAUUUGAAAACAUUUUCAGGGGAGAAUCAUCUGUCACUCGGCUCCAGGCCGGAGGCCUUUCAGCUCUGAUUAAAGUAGAGAGUUCAACACAACACUGGCGCUUUUGAAAGCCUCUCUCCAAUCCUUCUCUUCAUCUCAACUUCACAGCUUCCCAGAAUUUGAAGCAAACCGCCUGGCAUUCAUAUAUUACUGAUAGCAUUCUCAUUCCCAAGAAAGGAUGAACCGUGCUUCGCAAGCAUUAGUUGUGCUCCAGCCCUUUCUUUACUGAUUCAUUGUCUAGUGCCUGUGUUUUCUGGCUUUUAACGUUGGGGAUUGGAUGCUCAGACAGAAGGGCCAAAUUGUAUUUAAGCAUCUUUUUAAAAUAUAUAUAUUUAUAGUUGGGGGUGGGGAAAAUCAGAAGUCUUGAUUAUAAUUUUCUUGCAGAAAAAAAAUGGAUUUCUCUUUUCUUUAUUCUAUAUUACCAAGGAAGGUGUGUGCUAUACCCUCUGCCCCACCCUACUCAAUUAAAAACAACCCUCUUUCUUAUUAGACAGAAUAGCUCAGUGGCUAGCACAUUCCUUUUCUGC